rnacentral:rRNA from 1 species
UGUCGGGGUAACGGCCCAACAAGCCAGUAAUCGGUACGGGUUGUGGGAGCAAGAGCCCGGAGUUGGAUUCUGAGACACGAAUCCAGGCCCUACGGGGCGCAGCAGGCGCGAAAACUUUACAAUGCGGGCAACCGUGAUAAGGGAACCCCGAGUGCCUGUAUAUGCAGGCUGUCUGGGUGUCUAAAACACACCUAAAGAAAGGGCCGGGCAAGACCGGUGCCAGCCGCCGCGGUAAUACCGGCGGCUCGAGUGGUGGCCACUUUUAUUGGGCUUAAAGCGUUCGUAGCUGGGUUAUUAAGUCCCUUGGGAAAUCCGACGGCUUAACCGUCGGGCGUCUAAGGGAUACUGGCAAUCUUGGAACCGGGAGAGGUGAGGGGUACUUCGGGGGUAGGAGUGAAAUCCUGUAAUCCUCGAGGGACCACCUGUGGCGAAGGCGCCUCACCAGAACGGCUUCGACAGUGAGGGACGAAAGCUGGGGGAGCAAACCGGAUUAGAU